rnacentral:lncRNA from 1 species
UAUGUAGGCGAUUUACAACAGAGUUCACCUACAACAAAAGUAUGGUUUCAUAGCAGGAGCAUUAGUUGUGUUUCUUUGACUACAUGUAAGAACAAUUGUUUAUAGAAUUAUUGCUUUGCAGGUCAACAUUCUGAAAGCAUUACUAUUGCAAAGGACAACAUUAGCAGCAUCAGUAACAGCAUCAAAUGGUCUAUGGCGACGAAAACCAAAUCAAUUCUUCCCGUGCAACGAUCAGUGCAGCUAAAAUCUACAACGCUUCUAGUACUAACAACCUCUGAAAGCAAAAAAUCAAAGACAAAAGUAGAAUUCAGAGGUCGCACGACAGACGUGAAACUAACCAUAUUCUGAAACCUGACACCUUACAAAAUCAGAAUUCAACCCAAACAGACGCGCUAAUCUUUCAUCUACAAUGGCAAGGAAAAAAGUAGUACCAUGACCAGUACAACUAGAAUCUAGAACUAUAAUGCUUCAAGCACUAAGAACCUCUGGAAAAAAAUCGAAGGCAUAACUAUCAGAGUCCGCACGACAGACCUCAAACUAACCACAUUCUAAAACCUGGAAUCUUUAAGACCAAACUACACAGAGAUAAAAUCUAAUAGAACAUGAACUCAAUGUAUCAUAUUCAAGUGGUAGGUAAAAUAGAGAUAUCUUGUGUGCGUAGGGUAGAAAGCAAUCAGCAACCUGAAACCAUCUCAGAGGAACUGCUUGCUAAGAACCUCAACACACACUGACAAAGCCGCUUCAACAUUCCCACAAUCCUUGUCAAUCCGUUGUCAUUCAUGUACAUCACCCGAAAUCAAUCAAAUUUGUCUAAGAAGAAAAAUAAUAUCUUGUGGAGAGGGAUGAUUCUAAGUUCCUAACCUUACACUCCAAAUAGCUAUCAUACAUAAUGCUUCUUUUACUGCGUUUUCUCGAGCAGGUAAAUCUGUAGAUAAAAGAAAUGUUCACAUACAUGACAUGCUGAAAUUCAAUUUUUUAUAUAACUCAGUAUAGCGAAGGCAAUGAGUAGUAGAUGCAUGAUGUCAGUGUUGCUUUUCGGCCAAAAAAAUGGAAGUGGAUACAAGCGAACAGACACUAAUUGUAUACAUGUGGCACCGCACUACUAACAAUGAUAUAACUAAUUGGUGAUACCAAAUAAGAGGAAGAUUAUUCACUUGCAGUUGCCUUGUUCGCGGUAAUCUGCUGCACACUGGUAAUUAUAUAAAUAUAUUUUCCACAAUUCAGAUUGUUAAAUAUAUGCAAUUCUACCCUCAUCUACACAUCCAAUCAUCUAAGAAUCACUGAGUCUCCUCUUGAUGCAAGCCAUAAUUUUAUUUCUCCACAAUUCAAUAAAUAUAUGCAACUCUACCUUCAUCUACAAACCCAAUCAAACUCACUCAAUCUCCUCCCGACGGAAGUGAUAGCUACCUAAACUAAAAGCUUCCAAAACACCAAGGGAAAGUAAUUGAAAUUGCAGUGGCUAGGUGAAAUUAGACUUGAACAUACCUAUUGUGGUCAAUAUUUACUACUCACAAAAAUGAUUAUGGCCGUCUUCUGUCCAAGGAGAAACCAGAGGAAUCAACAACCCCCGAACAGACCCACAACAAUAUAUGGUUAUACACCUUGAAUUAAACAAGUGUUUCCACUAGAGCAAUUCCUGCAAAAUAAAAGAACAACACACUAUGAAUAGGUAGACAAGGAAGCCAAUAGCCAUCUAGCUAUAUAAUAAUUGUCAUAGCAGAACAUAUUGGAGAGAUUACCUUGGCAGGCAAUAGAUGGUG